GUCUCUGUAACUCAGUUGUAUAGAGUAAUCCCCUCCUAAGGGAUAAGUCGCCAGUUAGAGUCUGGCCAGGGACGCCA
rnacentral:tRNA from 1 species